rnacentral:rRNA from 1 species
AUGAACGCUGGCGGCGUGCCUAAUACAUGCAAGUCGAGCGAACAGACGAGGAGCUUGCUCCUCUGACGUUAGCGGCGGACGGGUGAGUAACCCGUGGAUAACCUACCUAUAAGACUGGGAUAACUUCGGGAAACCGGAGCUAAUACCGGAUAAUAUAUUGAACCGCAUGGUUCAAUAGUGAAAGACGGUUUUGCUUUCACUUAUAGAUGGAUCCGCGCCGCAUUAGCUAGUUGGUAAGGUAACGGCUUACCAAGGCAACGAUGCGUAGCCGACCUGAGAGGGUGAUCGGCCACACUGGAACUGAGACACGGUCCAGACUCCUACGGGAGGCAGCAGUAGGGAAUCUUCCGCAAUGGGCGAAAGCCUGACGGAGCAACGCCGCGUGAGUGAUGAAGGGCUUCGGAUCGUAAAACACUGUUAUUAGGGAAGAACAAAUGUGUAAGUAACUAUGCACGUCUUGACGGUACCUAAUCAGAAAGCAACGGCUAACUACGUG